GGAGUUGUGCCUGAACGCCUAAGGACCACUUUGAUAGAGUGACUUACGGGGGCUAAAAUCCCCCCAACUCCU
rnacentral:tRNA from 1 species